CGCUGUGCCGGCUUAUACAAUGGCAUUAUCUCAAGCCAACCACGGCUGCAGAAACUCGCAGUGCUUCCUGUCUUUGCAGCACAAACUGUCCGAUUUCCAACAGCUUUCGGACACACUCGCUGGCGCUCGGUCGCCAAGCUCGGUGUAUAAAUGUCUAAAGCCACUUCUUCCUUGGGAAUUGCAGACGCUGCGAUGCUGUAAUCCAUUGUAUUUUUAUCCCCUCUGGAAGGACUUGCACAAUCAGAGAGAGAGAGAGAGAGAGAGAGAAUCCCAAGCAGGCUCCGCACUGUCAGCGCAGAGCUCUCGAUGCAGGGCUCUAACCCAUGAACCGUGCGAUCACGACGCGAGCCGAUAUCGAGAGUCAGACGCUUAACCAACUGAGCCACCCAGGCACCCCUCCUGAGGUGAACAAUUUAUUUUAGGAGGAUUAUUUCUGCUGACAAGGAAGUUAAGAAAAAAAAUCACUCAGCUGAAGAAGGUUUCCUGAUAAUCACGGAAUCUUUGAAAGCUUGGCCCUGGAUAUCAUUAGAUGACAGUCUCACCCCAGGGUCCCCUCACCGGGAGGAAACCCGGUCUAGGUUGCAAGAAAAUCUUGAAACAUGGAAGCCAACAGCAGAGCUAGAUUCCUACACCUAUAGAGGGAAGGAGAAACACUCGGGUGUCUACACAAGCCAGAGCACCGGAUACGGAUACAGCACCAGCCCAGAUGGAUGGGGCAUUCCAUUUCUCCACAAAAGCUGAGCUAAGAAAAAUGUCAGGUCGAUAAUGAAGAAAGACUGGGAGGAAACGUAAUACAGAUUGUUUUGUAGGACCUUGGAGUUUAAUAACAGAGACCCAGAUACCUAAUCCGUCCAGCUCGGUCUUGUGCCUGACUCACUGGAUGGCCUUCGUGAAAUCAUUCUCCAUCGAUUUGUGGAGUCCGGGACACCUAGGACAGCGGACCCCACAUCCGCUUCAGGGCUCGAGCAAGAGAAACGUAAGUGAAAACGUUCAGGCCGUAGAUCCCUGUGGGGGGUUCGGUCUUCAUACGAGGUCGGGGACCAAGCGGGGUCCUGGUGAGAUGGUGAAGCACGUGCAGUUUGUUUUUACCCAAACUGCUACCAACUUCUCUGAUGUCUUUCUAAAGACACCUUUUUUAUUUUUUUAAAUGUUUAUUCAUGUUUUAGAGAGAGAGACAGACAGAGUGGGAGCAGGGGAGGAGCAGAGACAGACAGGGACACAGAAUCUGAAGCAGGCUCCGGGCUCCGAGGUGUCAGCACAGAGCCCAAUACGGGGCUCAAACUCAUGAACCGCGAGGUUGUGACCUGAGCCAAAGUCGGACGCUUCACCGACUGAGCCACCCAGGCGCCCCUCGAGAUCUAUUUCAAGUUUUUUCACGGCACCAAUGAAUACUAAAUUCUUAGUGGCUCAUUUAAAAAGUAAACAUACCCUAGGAGCACUUGGGCGGCUCAGUCAGUUAAGCAUCCGACUCUCGAUUUCAGCUCAGGUCCUGAUCUCAGGGUCGUGAGAUCGAGCCCCGUGUUGGGCUCCGUGCCGGGUGUGGAUCCUGCUUAAGAUAAUCUCUCUCUCAAGGGGAGGCUGUCUCCCCUUCUGCUGCACUCUCUCUCAAAGAAGUCGACAAGUUAUUAAUUAAUUAAAAUAAAAGUAUACACACCCUAAACGGGCAAUUGAUGACCAAGGCAUUUUGAAAUCAGCCUGCCCCUCCUCUCACUCACCAAACAACUGGGUUUUCCACGCUAGCAAGUCAGAGAGCUCUGCUUGCCUCAGACGUGCACCGCUGUUCAUGAAACACUUGAAUCUGGUUCUUGCUCUCCAUACUUAUGUCCGCCUUCCUUCUGGACGCAUCCAACCCUCUGACCUCCUUGACCCAAUGACCUUAUUCUCUGCUGGGCCACGGCUUCCCGUUCUCACGGUGCAGAAUGUGGAGUCUGAACCUCGUUAUCUUUUGAAACUGUUCCACCUCGAAAAUCAUGAAUCAGACAUCCUCCUUGCUGGUCACAAACUUGUCACUGCAGCUUCUUGCACAAAGGUCCCCGGCGCAAGUGUCCCUCUGGCUGUGGGUGGCGUGCACACCUCCCACUUUCUCUCCGUUAGCGGGCCUCUCUGCUCUAUUAAUGUUCCCGAGAUCCAAGUUGGAUUCUGGCCCCCAUGACACAACCACGUUUCUGGUAAGCUCUCUUGCCCUCCCUUUGCUACAUAUGCCCGGCAAAUUCAAUUCCUUGUUUGUUUUUCGUUUUUCUAGUUUACUUAUUUACUUUGAGAGAGAGAAAGAGAGAGCAAGCAGAGGAGGGGCAGAGAGAGAGAGAGAGAGAGAGAGGGAAUCCCAAGCAGGCUCCACCCUCCCAGCGAGGAGCUGGAUACAGGGCUCGAACCCAUGAACCCGUGACAUUAUGACGUGAGCUGAAAUCAAGAGCUGGACAGCUAAUCAACUGAGCCACUCAGGCACCCCUAGCGGAUUCAAUUCUUUUUUUUCUUUUAACGUAUUUUUAAUGUUUUAUUUAUUUUUGAGAGAGAGAGACAGAGACAGAGUGCAAGCAGGGAAGAGGCAGAGAGAGAGGGAGACACAGCAUCCGAAGCAGGCUCCAGGCUCCGAGCUGUCAGCACAGAGCCCGAUGCGGGGCUCAGAUCCACAAACCGUGAGAUCAUGACCUGAGCCAAAGUCUGACGCUUAACCGACUGAGCCACCCAGGCGCCCCAUGGUGAAUUCAGCUCUGAAUGAACUCAACCAUAGCCAUUCUCCGGCCUUGACCAGGCUGCUGAGUGUCACCAUUGGGAAGCUCCCCAGCUAGGCAGAUGGUGAGCGCUAUAUGCCUUUGAUCACCAACCACAGGGGUGCUCCCUUUUCCUGGCAAUCUCUCUAUGCUUCUCUCAAAACACAUUUCACAAAUGUUCCAUCUCCUUCAAUCUCAAAUAUGCCCCACCUCUCCCUAACUGACUUUGCUUCAUAUUUCACAAAGAAAUAGAAAUACCACACAAGACCUUUCUCGACUUCGUGCCACCAAAUCGACACCACCACCUGCAUUGGCCCUGGUUUUCCCCUCCUCUCGAUAGAACUGAGUGGCCAUUUCCCCUUUAACAGAGACUUAUUUUCCAUCCUGCCCUGGACCGAAGGUACUGAGAAGUGAUUUAUGGUUGCAGAGACGUGGUGCUUACUGGCGACCCCAAUGGAAGCCAUAUUGAAGUGGAAAAAGAAGGAGCCAGAAGGUGGAGAAAGCAACAGAGCAGCUGUAAGCCAGUUCAGUCGAGAAAUCUGAUUAUGAAGAGAGGCAGUCACUUAAGUGCUCUCUUCUGAACCUUAGGCUAUCAGCUAUUGCCCUCAUCUUCCCCCUGGUCCCCUCUACCCAUUCCUUUCUGCCCUCAGAUAUGCAACGUCCUCUGAACUUCAACACUAGUACAACAGCUAGACAAACCGGAAACAGAAACCACCCUUGUACCUUGUAUACCUCAGCUAUUGGCCUAUUAUUUGCUUCCCUUCGUAAUCAAAUUUCUACAACAGCUGUCCAUAGCAGUCUUGUUACUUUUUCCACCUUCCGGUUCCUUCAAAUCUCGCUUCCAUAUGGCUUUUGUUAGGGUCACCAGUGAUGUCCAGAUUAGUGAAACCGAAAAUCACUUCUCUGUCUCCUGAGGUGUUUCCCUGAGGCAAGUCCUCAGGGAAAAUCUUGUAGAUUUGGGAAAGUAACGUCCAAAGGUGAUGGAAUCGGCUUAACAAAUUAACUCCCCAUUUACUGACUGCAUAGUCUGUGUGAGGCACUGGCUUGAGUAAUGGGACUUCACAGAGACACGCAGGAUGUGGCCUCUUAUCAUGGGCCUACUGGCCGGCACCAUAAAGAAAUGGUGGUGAUACACCGAGCUCCAAGCAGUAAGUAAGUGAAGCAGAUGGGGCCCAGGGAGCACCAGGGAAGAAGGAGUCAACCUUCUCUACAGUGGGCAGGAAGGGCAGUGCCUGAACUGCGGACCUGAAUGACGAGGGAGCACACUCCAGGCCGUGGAAGCUUGUGCAGUGCAGGGGGACUUGUUGCUGUGGUGACAGUCGGGGAACUUCCUGUCACGUGGGACACAAAAGUCUGCGGCGGAAGUGACGACGGAGGGAAGGACAGACAUGACCAGUCGGACGGUGAUCUCUGACCAGGACCGCACAGGUGCUCACAGCAAGGACACUGGCCGCCAGCCCUCUCUCCAUCCCAGUGACGUCGGAACCCCUGUAUUUGACCUAGGUAUGGUCCUGGGUGUCAGCAGGUGCUGAAUAAAGGACUGAAUAUUUUAGCUCAUGAAACUUGCCACAUUACUGGUGUUGUUUUCAUUAAAAGUGUUACUGCAUCUGACCUGCUUAGAACACUAUUAGGCACAGCGUUUAAGAGACAGCAGGACAUAGGGGCACCUGGGUGGCUCAGUCGGAUAAGCAUCUGACUUCGGCUCAGGUCACGAUCUCACGGUCUGGGUUCGAGCCCUGCGUCGGGCUCUGUGCCGACAGCUCAGAGCCUGGUGCCUGCUUUGGAUUCUGUGUCUCCCUCUCUCUCUGCCCCUACCCCACUCAUACUUUCUCUCUCUCUCUCUCUCUCAAAAUAAAUAAAUGAAUAUUAAAAAAAAUUUAAAAAACAAACAAACAAGACAGCGGGGCGUAAUGGUUGGACCCCAACCUACUAGACUAGACGCCCAGAGUUUAUGCCCUGGCUUCGCUGUCUACCAUGACUUUGGCCAAGUUACUUAGCCUCUUUGUACCUUCUGUGCCUUGGGAACUCUGACAGUACCUAACUCACAAGGUUACCACGAAGGUGAAAUGAGUUUAUAUGUGUAAAACACUUAGUGCUUUGUAACAAUUCACAAUAAUUGUCCACAUUAUCACUAAUAGUAGGCAUGACUAACAAUUAUUUUUAAUAAUUUAUAUUGUGACUAAAUAAUUAUUGACCAUUAUGAUGAAAUUUUCCAAGCGCUCCGACUCCUAGAGCCCCAGCCCCGCCCUCACCGCUGCACUUUUUUCCUAGCAUAUCCAUAUCUCUUGCUGACUUGAGAUACAUGUCGGUCAUCAAGCGUGUCCGUCAGCUGAUGGAAGAGGCAGGGGAAACUGUAGCAACCAUCCACAGGCCCAACCAUCAUGCUAUUCCCAAGUCGGAAUAGCUCUUCUUCCUCAUUGAAAGUAUGAUUGAAUACCUCAUGGAUAAACCAGCAUGGAAUUGGGUUCUGGAAGGCUAAAGAAAGAAAUCACCACUCCAGGUGUGCUCUCUGGAAGCUUCACAUGACACCCUCCCCAUUUUGUUUAUUGUCACGUCAGCUUUGGGAUUUACUGUCCAACUAGUCCGAAGAGCAUGUGUUUUUAUAUUUUGCAAGACUGUCUCAACCAGCAGUGUAAAACAACAGAAAACAGUUGCAAAGCUUUCACUUUUAAAGGGUUUCCAAGCACCCUGCCCUUUUCCUAAAGGACUCUUUUCCCUUUUAUGGAUGAGCACCAGGCUCCAAGACAGUGUAAAUAGAGCUUCCUGUUCUAGGGAAGUGUUGGCUCCUGCAGGAGCCCAGGGGUCCUUUGGGAAAAGUUGAUAGGAACUAUGAGCUGUAUGUGACCUGCGGCCCAGGAGUCAGCUGAGCCAGCAGGGAGGGAAACACAUUUAACAGCCCCUUUGUGCAGACUGAGGUCCCAGAAGCACUUCUGGGAAAGUAAGUCUGGUGCCAUACACACAGUCCUUGUAAAGAAUGGCAGGGAAGCCGGCCGAGCUGAAGAAGGACAUGCCCAGAUUAGACGUCCAAAUCUUGGACCUGGCUGCUUUGAAGAACCGAGAGAUAUCUGAAACUCCCUGUGUUCCAUAUGAGUGAAGGUUUAAAAAUCAGGAAAAAACCCAGAUUGAUGUCGCACGACUUUAGUCCAACGGCAACUAUUUUUUCAGGGUGCUUGGUGGUCGCACACUGCUGGCAUGCGAGUUAAAAUCCAUUACCCGAUGCUUUUAGUUGGUAAUAAAAGCAUUACUUGUAUGUGGUUGAGUCGAUGGGCCAUCCAUCUGAGAAGGGUGCUCUUUGACUUUUGUGUGCUUCCCAGUCUCAUCGAUGGUGGAAAGAAAGUAAACCGAGAAAGUAUACUAGUCCUUUUAGAUUCACUCAUAAUGAUACCAUGACAAUUAUGAGUAUUAUUUUGAGGAUAGCUGACAUUUACUGAGUACUCGCUAUGUGCUAAUCAAUGAAUUCAGCCAAUAGUCUCCAUCAAUGAAAAAAAAAAAUUGAGCAUGAACUGACAAACCGGGUUUGCUAAUCUAACGUAAAGUCCGCAAAGGGACACCCGGAAAUCAAGAAACAGAAAUGCAGGUGAAAGUAGUGACAUGGAAAUUCUUGUCUUUUUGUUCUGCACGACAUUCUUUCGUAGUUUGUCUACUAAAGGGGUGUGGGCACCCAGUUUGGGGACAGCUCUGCAAACACUGAGCUGUUACUGUUUCCCUUUGAAGGGUGAGAGAUCGGAAGACGAAGAUCUGAAGAGG